GUACUGUUUAGCCCUAAACACCAGACUUCCUUGCAGACUACUCAAGUGAAAAAUCAAAACAUUGUGUUUUUUUCUAUACAAGUUGUGACAGUUGUAGUUUUCGGUAAAGGGAGAAUUCAUUAUCAAAGGAAUCAUUAUUACUCUCUAGUUAUUUAUUGCGUUUUGAAGAUUGAUUCAAACUUGUAGCGAUUUUCGGAUAUACACAUGUAAUUGUGAGAACACAGAGAACAAAGGAGAACGAGACAUUAAACAUGUUUUGUACGCUUUCCUGAUGAAAAGUUUUAGAAUUCCACCAGUUUACGACGUUAAUUCAAUGGGAGAUCAGAGUGGAUACUACUACUGUAAGUUGUGUGUGAGAGGAUUCAGUUAUGUUGCAACUGGAAGAUCAAGUUAAAACGCAAUGCCCAAGCCAAUGCUGGCAACAGCUUGGCACAUUUGGUUUACCAAGGAAUCAUGAACACACUUACCAUAAUAAAGCAAAUGGGGAUCCGCAAAUGGGACCACAUGGAUGUUCAGGUAACACAAUCAUCAGCGCAAGACAUUCAGAGAACAAAUGGAAAUUCCCACCACAAGUUUAGCUUCCUUCAAUCCUGGAGGGUACUCUGUUGAAAACAAUAAAGCUAAACUACAUCCAUUUUUAGCAGAACAUAGAAUCAAAACAGAUUAUGUGUACCAAUCUUAUGGGCCUGAUCUGAUGAAAAGAGUUUUUUCGACGAACAGCAUUUUGUCUUUCGUGCAGAGAAAUACAUGCUCGCUAACGAGCUUGUACAAAAGUGCUGGCUUCUAAAGCUUGCGCCCUUUCGAUCGUCAAAACAAUUAUUCCAAACGGAAUUUGUCGAACCGGCUGGGUCUCGAGUUAGUGUUAGAAAAAAAAAAAAAAAAAAAAUCUAGACACCAGACCUUUCCCCGUCAUUGUUCGCGGUGAAUUAGAGAUGGAGUUAAAUCGCACUGUUCUGGAAGAUCGUCUAUUACCUAUUAAAGUAGUACUGGUAUGUAUUGUUUAUAUUGGAAUUUUCCUGAGAUAUUUUGGCCCUCCUGUAAAGUAAGGAGGGCUUUCCAAAAAUUGUACCGCGGACAUAUUGCCGGGUACGUUGAUUUAUAAUGGUUUCAGCAGCAAUACUCUCACCAUACGUUCAUUGGGUAUUGGCCUCCCACUUGAUAAGGACAAGAUAUAGUAUGAGUUUUACAAUGCUUUAUACUUUGGUGUGCCAGAAAUAGUGUUUGUGAAUGGCGCAACUAUUUACGAACUAGAUCUUUUUUGUUGUUCCAGCUAUAUUUAUAAUUAUCCUAGAUAAUAUUAAUCUUUACUUUUGAAAACAAAGCUCACGAUUAAUUUAUGAUACAUUUUAGAAACAGGAUUUAUCAGAGCCGCAAACUCUGUAGGAUGGGUGACUUGCACCAAAAUCCAUGCACCUUAAUGAAAUUGAUUCCUGUCGUGGGUCAACUCAAGUGACAUUCCGUGGUCUUCUCCUACUGCCAAUUGACCAACAUGGACCGCUAGUAGAAUCGAACGAGGACGUUUCGCUACGACUUCAUUGGAUACAAUUUGUCAAACCUUGUGGUAGAGACAAGAGCGUAUUUUACAAUCAGAUCGCAGUUUUCUAAAGGCACUAGAGGAGCGCAAAUCUUUACCUAUUUAUGCCUUCCAGAAUGCUGUUAUGGAUGCUGUUUACUGUAAUUCCGUUGUCGUAUUCGUGGUAAUACGGGUUCUGGCAAAACAAUUCUGAUUAUUGUUGAUGAGGUUCACGAACGCAAUACAAAUUCUGAUUUCCUACUCAUUAUGCUGCGUGAUUUGGUGACCCUGCACCCUGAACUUCGCAUCAUUUUGAUGUCAGCAACUAUUGAUACUUCGCUUUUCAGUCGCUACUUUGGCAAUUGCCCAGUAGUCGAUAUUCCUGGCAGAGUUCACCCCGUGAAAUUAUUACUUGAAGGAUUGUGUUGGAGAUGCUUCGAUUUCGACCAAGACAAUAUACAAAGAAAACAUUUAUACGCAAAGAUGUUGAUGGCGAAGAGAACAUGAAUUUGAAGGUGAUGGGGAAAUACUCCUUUAGCUAUGGCUCUUCUCGAUGAGAAAGAUAUAUGUUUAGAGUUGGUGGAAGAAUUACUUACUCACAUCAAUCAAAUGAAAGUUCUUGGCGCAGUGCUUAUUUUCUUACCCGGAUGGAUCACUAUUUUCGCAUUGCUUCAACUUUUGCAACAAAGUUGAUAUGCUAGCGAUUAUCUACUCCUACCGUUGGACUCCAUGUUGCCACGAGAAAAUCAGUGACGUGUUUUUUAGCCUGCUCCCGAGCGCAAAAUGAUCAAGGUCAUUUUGGCGACGAACAUCGCGGAAUCUUCCAUAACCGAUGAUGAUGUCUUUGUCAUCGAUUCGUGUCUCGCAAAUGUCAAGCUUUUUACGUCACACAACAAAUAUGCACAACUACGCUACUGUUUGGGCAGCUCAGGACAAUUUAGAACAACGUCGGGGUCGUGCCGGCCGCGUCCGUCCGGGAUAUGCCUUUCGAUUGUGCAGCCGCCGUCGCUACCAACAUUUGAUUACCGAAUACCCGAACUCGCCUGCCUGUCAGAAUUCUAAACGUCCUUCAGACGGAAGAUAUGACAGCGAGUUCAAAUUUGGUCGUUACGAAACUCGUGUUGUAUCUCAUCGGCCUUCCCUAUCAAUCAAAACUUUUCGUCAUGGAGAAACGAAUCGGUGAGCAAUGACUCGAUUGGACCUUUUUCCAGCGGUCAACGAGGAGUGAACGGCAACUGGUGCAGAACUUUAGAGUACGAACGAAAACAAGAUGGCUAUCCUACUAAUGUAGGAUGAAAAGGCGCAAUCAGAGCACUGCAGUUCACAUCAAUCAAGCAUGCCCAGUUCCCAACGCUGAUGGAUUGAGUCUUGUAAGUUGUAAUGGUAUAUCAAAGUACUCACUUCGGAAACAGUUUGUCUGUUUGAAUUCGUAUACGUGGAUCUCUUUAAAAUAAGACAAAAUCUAUUGUACUAUUCCAAUGCUUCGUAUGAUAUUUACGCAAGACUUAAAUUAAAAUUGUGUGCAUAUAUGUUUGAAGAAUCCUCUUACUUAAAUACAACGUCAAAUAACAA